rnacentral:rRNA from 1 species
AGGAUGAACGCUGGCGGCGUGCCUAACACAUGCAAGUCGAACGUCCUGUCUCGCAAGAGGCAGGGAGUGGCGGACGGGUGAGUACCACGUGGGUCAUCUACCGUGAGGUGAGGAAUACCGGCGAGAAAUCGCCGACAAGACCGCAUAGGCUCGAUGCAAGUCGAGCAAAGCUCUUUCGAGAGAGGGAGCGCCACACGAGGAGCCUGCGCCCGAUUAGCUAGCUGGUGGAGUAAUGGUUCACCAGGGCGACGAUCGGUAGCUGGUCUGAGAGGACGAUCAGCCACACUGGGAUUGAGAACGGCCCAGACUCCUACGGGGGCAGCAGUGAGGAAUUUCGUCAAUGGGGGCAACCCUGAACGAGCAACGCCGCGUGCAGGAAGAGGUUUUCGGAUCGUAAACUGCUUUCGUCGGGAAGAGAACGGACGGUACCCGAGGAAUCAGCCCCGGCUAACGUACGUGCUAGCAGCCGCGGU